GAUGAAGUUUCUACAUGGAAAUGACUGAAGUAAAUUAUAAUAAAGCUAUCAUUUUAAGAACAUAUUUCUAUAAGUAGCUCUACUUACUUUUUUUUUUUUUUUUUUUUAAAGAAAAACAACUUUCAAUGUGGAAGAUACAUGCCCUUACCUUAUUUGGAGAAUAUUUACUGAUAUUUUGUAUAGAAAAAGAGAAAUUUAUACAUUUUAUAUUUAUAUCCAAUUUACAGUUAAGCAUACACUUUGGCAAGAUCACGAUGUUUCAUUUUGACUGUUGUUCACAAUUGCUAAGGUUUCCUAAAUUCAGGGUGACAGUGGAAGGGAGAGUCAAGCAUGACUUAGUUUGUGAUCUUUAGUUGUGAUUUUGAUAAAUACCUCUGUGUGUGGCAUGAACACACACCAGUUUCUGAUUAUUUUUAUGCUUUUUUUGUUUGUUUGUUAUUGGGUUAGAUCAGACACUCAUUAAGAACUUGGCUGGUCCUAAUUAGAAUGCUAACAGAUAUGUAGCAUGUUACAGAAAGAUAUUAAAAUUUAGGUUUGUCUUAAGUUGCUGACUUAUAUUUGCAUUUAAAAAUAAGUCGGUCUUUUAUAACCUAAAUGUCUAGUAUCAAUUGAAUAUUUAUAUAAUAAUGAAAUAGUAGUAUUAUGUAUAAUGGUUUCUUAAGGAAUGAGUUAAAAUCAUCUCAUAAUAAUUUUUUAUGUUGAAAAUAAACUUUAUAAAAUCUUUUGAGUGCUAUGAUUGCUCUUUAAGAACAAUCUGACAAAUGAUACUAUUUAUAUUUCCAAACAUCAAUUUGUGUUUACCAUUUAGAAUAACUUUUAUGUUUUAAACAUAAUACUUAAAUACUUAAAGUUUAUUACUUUGGCUACAUAUUUUUUCUUUCUUUCUUUUUUAAGAAGAUAUAUCUAGAUAGAAGAAAGAUGGCAGAGUUGAGAUACUUGGCACUUUGAUGCAUCUGUGAAUCCUAACAGCAUCAGAUACAUGGCUACAGGGUGUGGGGAGUGACAUGUAAAGUCAGGAGUUUAGCAGCAGACAGAGAUUAGGCAAAUCCAGAAAAACCAGAAGUUUAGAUUUGUUGAAGAAAUUGGACCCUAAGGUGGUAUGUGUUGGGAGCCGCCCCCACAUUCGCCGUCACAAGAUGGCGCUAACAUCCUGUGUUCUAAGUGGUAUACAAAUAAUCUGCGCAUGUGCCAAGAGUAAUUUUCCACUACAUGUACUCUGCCUUUACUCGGCCAUGGGCUGCAGCCAAUCAGGGAGUGAUGCGUCCUAGGCGAAGGAUAACUCUCCUAAAUAGGGACAGGGUUUCGCUUUCGUUUUUGGGGGCUUUCGUUUUUGGGCUUGGGGCUUGCGCUCCUGGCUCCUGAAGAUGUAAGCAAUAAAGUUUUGCCGCAG
rnacentral:lncRNA from 1 species